CCGAGGUUUAAAUGCCUGGCACGCACACGUCAGUGCAGCAGUUUCCCUGCGACUCCGGAGGCAUGGGGCCGAGCACCUGUGCCCCAUGCCUUUUCUGGGGACAGCUGUGCCCCUCGCUGGCCCCGCAGAACCGCCCCAUCUGACCUGCGGGGACGAAAUGGUCUGAAAUCUUCUCAUUAGAUGGCAAGUUAUUAAGUCAAAGCUCUGUUGACAUCCAGGAACCUACUUGCUAGGACCCCAAGUGAAACAUACUGCCUAAGGACAAGAACUUGAACUCAAACUAGAGUCAGACCUGUGUACGAGAAAUAAUAUGCCUUGAUUGCUGUCAAUUAGCAUUCUAGGGUAGAGAGUCAAAAGCAGGACAGAUGUCUAUAUCACAGCAAAAAGGGAAACAAGUAUACUUCCAGAAAAAGAAAGAACAAAAGAAAGAACAAGACAACCGCACAAGCAAAUCAUGAAAAGUGGUGUGAAAUCAAG